GAUGAACGCUGGCGGCGUGCCUAAUACAUGCAAGUCGAGCGAACAGACGAGGAGCUUGCGCCUCUGACGUUAGCGGAGGACGGGUGAGUAACACGUGGAUAACCUACCUAUCAGACGGGGAUCACUUCGGGAAACCGGAGCUAAUACCGGAGAAUAUAUUGAACCGCAGGGGUCAUUAGUGAAAGACGGUGUUGCGGGCACUUCUAGAGGGAUCCCCGCCGCAUGGGCUGGUUGGUAAGGUAAAGGCUUACCAAGGCAACGAGGCGUAGACGACCUGAGUGGGUGAUCGGCCACACUGGAACUGAGCCACGCUCCAGACUCCUACGGGAGGCCGCAGUAGGGAAUCUUCCGCAGUGGGCGAAAGCCUGACGGAGUAACCCCGCGUGAGUGAUGAAGAUCCCCGGAUCGUAAAGCUCUGUUACGAGGGAAGAACAAAUGUGUACGUAACUAUGGACGUCGUGACGGUACCUAAUCAGAAAGCCCCGGCUAACUACGUG
rnacentral:rRNA from 1 species